GAGUUUGAUCGUGGCUCAGAUUGAACGCUGGCGGCAGGCCUAACACAUGCAAGUCGAGCGGAUGACGGGAGCUUGCUCCUUGAUUCAGCGGCGGACGGGUGAGUAAUGCCUGGGAAUCUGCCUGGUAGUGGGGGACAACGUUUCGAAAGGAACGCUAAUACCGCAUACGUCCUACGGGAG
rnacentral:rRNA from 1 species